rnacentral:rRNA from 1 species
AAAUUGAAGAGUUUGAUCAUGGCUCAGAUUGAACGCUGGCGGCAGGCCUAACACAUGCAAGUCGAACGGUAACAAGAAGCAGCUUGCUG